UUCCCGUAAUCACACAAUAGAGUUUGAGGAUUUUAUCAGCAAUCAUUUGCGAAUUCGUGACAAGGGAACUCAUACUAUGCUCCAAGCAGAUCUAGUUGAGCACUUGUGGCAACGUCACUUGGCUAAUAUCAAUAAUUGAGGGUGUACAGCAAUGAGAGGUGAAGGAGCUAUUGCAGUAUUGGACGCUGCCGCUGGAGGUUGGUUAGAUAGAAACAGGCUUGUGGUGGUCUCAAGGGAGGUUUAAGUACCUUCUUUAGGUCUUAUAAUUUGGGCAUUAUGGUCGGAAUGGUGAAGAAAAUGUGGGUGGUGUGUGUGGUGGUUUUGGUCUUGAACUUUGGGGAUCCUUUGGUUGAUA